rfam:Trichobilharzia regenti genome assembly, scaffold: TRE_scaffold0072320
AUCCAGUUGACGAAUGCCAAAUAUGACGAAAUGCGCAUCCUGGAU